rnacentral:rRNA from 1 species
UACGAAGGGGGCUAGCGUUGUUCGAAAUUACGGGGCGUAAAGCGCGCGCAGGCGGUCUUCCAAGUCAGUGGUGAAAGCCCGGAGCUCAACUCCGGAACUGCCAUUGAAACUGUAAGACUUGAGGAUGAGAGAGGUGAGUGGAAUUCCCAGUGUAGAGGUGAAAUUCGUAGAUAUUGGGAAGAACACCGGUGGCGAAGGCGGCUCACUGGCUCAUAUCUGACGCUCAGGCGCGACAGCGUGGGGACCAAACAGG